UAGGUGGACGCUCGCUGGUUUGAGCGCUUAACUGUUAAUUAAGAUCUUGUAGGAUCGAGGCCUUCCCAUCUAG
rnacentral:tRNA from 1 species